UACGUAGGGUGCAAGCGUUGUCCGGAAUUAUUGGGCGUAAAGAGCUCGUAGGCGGUCUGUCGCGUCGAAUGUGAAAACCCGGGGCUCAACCCCGGGCCUGCAUUCGAUACGGGCAGACUAGAGUUCGGUAGGGGAGUCUGGAAUUCCUGGUGUAGCGGUGGAAAUGCGCAGAUAUCAGGAGGAACACCGGUGGCGAAGGCGGGACUCUGGGCCGAUACUGACGCUGGAGGAGCGAAAGCGUGGGGAGCGAACAGG
rnacentral:rRNA from 1 species